UAGAGAUGCUAAUGAGAUUGAAGUUCAGGCCAUUCUCAAAGCACUUCUUAUUACUAAGUAAAUGCAGCCAUUUUCGAGUAACAUUCGGGCAUUGGUUGUUGAGUCUAAUUCCCAUAAUGCGAUAUCAUGGCUAAAUGGCAACUCAGAGGAGCCUUGAAGUUUUUGUGAAAGUAUCAAGGAAGUUCUAAAUUUGGUGGCUAUACCAAAUGUCUCUUUUAUCCACACUAGGCGUGAGGUUAAUCACAUUGCUAUAAUUAUCUAGUAAAAACAAGUUCUUGAGACAUGAAAUG
rnacentral:misc_RNA from 1 species